rnacentral:lncRNA from 1 species
GUGGAAGAGUCAAGAUUCAUCUGACUUCACAGUCCAAGCCCUUACCCACGAUAUGAUAAGCAAUAUAUUCAGGAAAAGACGCUGUGCAGUAAUGAUCGCUACCGUUUCCUCACGAAGCUCUCGCUAUGCGCUGAGCACCUUGCUGGGAGUUCGGCGGGCAUUAUCUCACAGCCACGCAGCCUGAGCCAGGCUCACUUCCUUAUUGUAGGCCCACCGCACCAGAUACUCCGUCAUUUAGCUUAUCACAGAUUCCUUUAUGUAACUGAAAUUAUGUCUUGAACAGAACUUCAAGCUUUAUUAUAGGCAGGACCUUGUCUAUUUAUGCUCCUCCCUCAUAACAUGAGCUACCAGCACAUCACUUGAUACGGUGGUUAUUCCAUGAAGAUUUGAGAAAUCAACUGAAGACGCAUGGAGAAACACCCCGGGGUGGAACUGCUGGACAGCAGCGUAAGUUGAACCUGGACUCAGACUCCAGGUCCAGCACCUGUGCUUCUAACCUGCAGCACAUGGUCUCCUUCUGGGCUGGACAGUCUUUAGCAUCAAACACAUCAAGGGCAAUUUAAUAUCACUAUAGUCACAUAUAGACAGAAAGCGAAAGGGUUUUCUCUAUGACAUUCAAGUAAAGACUCACUAUAGAAUAAACGCUAGUGGACACAAAAGAAUACUAGAAACAUUUCAAAAAUACUAGAAAUCAUGUUCAGUCUUUCCACAGGGUCCUUUCCAUUC